UACAGAGGGUGCAAGCGUUAAUCGGAGUUACUGGGCGUAAAGGGCGCGUAGGUGGUUGUGUAAGUUGGAUGUGAAAUCCCUGGGCUUAACCUAGGAACUGCAUACAAAACUGCAUAGCUAGAGUACUGUAGAGGGUAGUGGAAUUUCCGGUGUAGCGGUGAAAUGCGUAGAGAUCGGAAGGAACACCAGUGGCGAAGGCGGCUACCUGGACAGAUACUGACACUGAGGCGCGAGAGCGUGGGGAGCAAACAGG
rnacentral:rRNA from 1 species